rnacentral:rRNA from 1 species
GGAAAGGCGCGCGAUACAGGGUGACAGCCCCGUACACAAAAAUGCACAUGCUGUGAGCUCGAUGAGUAGGGCGGGACACGUGGUAUCCUGUCUGAAUAUGGGGGGACCAUCCUCCAAGGCUAAAUACUCCUGACUGACCGAUAGUGAACCAGUACCGUGAGGGAAAGGCGAAAAGAACCCCGGCGAGGGGAGUGAAAAAGAACCUGAAACCGUGUACGUACAAGCAGUGGGAGCACGCUUAGGCGUGUGACUGCGUACCUUUUGUAUAAUGGGUCAGCGACUUAUAUUCUGUAGCAAGGUUAACCGAAUAGGGGAGCCGAAGGGAAACCGAGUCUUAACUGGGCGUUAAGUUGCAGGGUAUAGACCCGAAACCCGGUGAUCUAGCCAUGGGCAGGUUGAAGGUUGGGUAACACUAACUGGAGGACCGAACCGACUAAUGUUGAAAAAUUAGCGGAUGACUUGUGGCUGGGGGUGAAAGGCCAAUCAAACCGGGAGAUAGCUGGUUCUCCCCGAAAGCUAUUUAGGUAGCGCCUCGUGAAUUCAUCUCCGGGGGUAGAGCA